rnacentral:rRNA from 1 species
UGGGGAAUAUUGCACAAUGGGCGAAAGCCUGAUGCAGCAACGCCGCGUGAGCGAUGAAGGCCUUCGGGUCGUAAAGCUCUGUCCUCAAGGAAGAUAAUGACGGUACUUGAGGAGGAAGCCCCGGCUAACUACGUGCCAGCAGCCGCGGUAAUACGUAGGGGGCUAGCGUUAUCCGGAAUUACUGGGCGUAAAGGGUGCGUAGGCGGUCUUUCAAGCCAGAAGUGAAAGGCUACGGCUCAACCGUAGUAAGCUUUUGGAACUGUAGGACUUGAGUGCAGGAGAGGAGAGUGGAAUUCCUAGUGUAGCGGUGAAAUGCGUAGAUAUUAGGAGGAACACCAGUAGCGAAGGCGGCUCUCUGGACUGUAACUGACGCUGAGGCACGAAAGCGUGGGGAGCAAAC